GAUUGAAUGGUUCCAGUUUUCGGUCGUGCUACAUGGUGUGGGCUGGCCUUUUUCCACCCCGUCUCUCCUUCGUCUACCUGUUCUCCAUCACCCUCCGCUCCCUCUUCCUCCUUCCACAUCCCGAUCUAAUCCCAUCGCCCCAACGCUCUCCCCUUCCCCUCCAUGGUGAGCCGCCUCUCUUCCCAGCUAGUUGCGCCGCCCAAACCCUCUCCGACCUCCAUGGCGGUGCUCCCUCCGUCUUAUGCUGCACAAAUACCAGCGAGAUCUGGGUCGACAGGACACAGGUGAUAUCGUCAUCAACCGCCGCCCCUGGUGCCUCGUGCGUGCUGAGGGGCAUCUACUUCGGAUCUGGCCGCGGAGCGGGAACGGUCCAUCGGAUUGGGCGGUGAUUGCAAGCUCUGCCUCUAUUCUUCACAGUAGGUUCUGAAUUUGAAUCGGAAUAAACCUGGCUGAAGUUGCAAUCUGCACUAUGGAGCCCUCUCCGCAAGGAACUUUUAUCGACGCGGCUCUGAAACUAGUACUUGACAUGGUAGAAGCAUGGUUUAUUCGGCCUAGACUAAUACAGUACAUAUACUGUAAUUUUCAGGAUCAUUACGGGCUGUGGCGAGCCGUCUGCUCUUCCUACAGAGUUAGUGUCCAUUUGCACUGUACUAUAUAAUUCGUUAGUGAUCAUGAUCACCUUACUUGGUGUUCUCGAUCGAGCCGCGUAGAUGGUGACUACGUUGUUGUUGCUGGUGGUUUGAGAGAAACUGAAUUGAAAAGAUUCCUGGACGUAUAAUCUGUCAGGUAUCAUCUGUAAUUUGGAUUCAAGUUUCAGAUGUCUUAGAUAUAUUGUAUCUUCAUCAUUUUCUCUAGCUUGAUACUGUGCCAAGCCACGAUCCUCUCUCCUCUGCUGUGGUGUAAGUGGUGCGGGGAGACCCGCGCGCGUUCGAGGGAGAGCUAGCCCGUAAGGUGCCUUUUGGCCUACCUCUUGUGGUCCUCACCUGGUUCAAGAGCUGGGAUUUGAAAAGCUAGAGAUGCACUUUUUCCUGGGAUUCUGACAUGGAUUUUAUUGCAAGCAAUGGCCCCUGGAGAUUCCGUCAUGCAUUGUUUAACAAGCUCAGUCAUUGUGUCAAUUAAAACUGAAAAGGACGUGUCAAAACUUAUCAAAAGGAAACAAUUUGUUGUCUCUUGGCUUUUUGGUUGCAAAUGCACUAUUUUUUUUGAGAGAACAAAUUCACUAUUAUUGAGAUAGAGAAUGCACGUCAACUACACAACAAAUUAUCAUGGUGUUCAAUUUUCCAAUCUUCCACUUAAUUUUGUUUCUAUCAUUUAGUUUGCUUUCUCUUUUCCAAUCUUUCACGUAAUAUUGUUGUCCAACAGAUGGGCCGUGAGUUUGGAAUUAGGCGGCCACGGCGCGUAGUCUGCCACCCGCUGCGUCGGCAUCCCAUUACCUGCAGGACCAUGGCCCCAUGGCGUCGGCGUCAUUGAUCACAGCAAUGCCGACGCCACCCGGGACGUGUACUGGACUGAGGCUUUGUGAUACGAGUAGAUCAUCCAAGAGGGUUAACAUUUGCACAUUAGUGAUCAUCCAAGGAGUACUACUAUUAUGUUUUAGGUUGUUGUUGCUGCUUUAAUCAACUAUGAACUGCCACUUUGAGUUGUGAUAUUUCUGGCCUGAUCUCCAUCCAGGACCAGGAAUGUACAUUUGAAUUUCUGAUUUGAGAUGGAUCACGGAAUAAGAGUUUCCUGUCAAA